rnacentral:rRNA from 1 species
UACGGAGGGUGCAAGCGUUAUCCGGAUUCACUGGGUUUAAAGGGAGCGUAGGAGGGCAGGUAAGUCAGUGGUGAAAUCUUCGAGCUUAACUCGGAAACUGCCGUUGAUACUAUCUGUCUUGAAUAUCGUGGAGGUAAGCGGAAUAUGUCAUGUAGCGGUGAAAUGCUUAGAUAUGACAUAGAACACCCAUUGCGAAGGCAGCUUACUACACGAUCAUUGACGCUGAGGCACGAAAGCGUGGGGAGCAAACAGG